AACACUAAGAAUAACAUCUGUAACCAUGAAACCUACAAAAGAUCUAGAGAGUUUGGAUUCAUUGGCAUUGAUCUGGGGGUAGAAAAGACCUAGAGUAAUGGCAUGAACAGAGUGAAUGGACUCCGUAUCAGGGAAGACUUCUGGAGAGACUGAUCGAGGUGAGGUUUGAAGAAAGGAAGUCGUGAAUAAACAGGAAAGAAUCAUAGAUUCUCAGAGGAUCACUAAUACAUAACAGAAGAAAAAAGAAAGAAAAGUGAAAUAUUAUCAGCACUGAUUAUUUUGUAUGAGAAAAGGUGAACUGAAAAGGUGGAAAGAGACACAAGAAUGUCAGAAAACGAAAGGAAGAGUCAAGGAGUUCCCAAAGAAGCUCUGGCUAAACAAGACACAUCUUCAUUAACUGAUGCUGUAGAACAAGUUGCAAAGCAACAGCAAUCACAAACAUCAGAAAUAGAAAGAAACAGAAAAGUUCUGUUCCAUUUACAGAAUGAACUUCAUGAGCUUGAAACACAAAUAGCAUCUGUCUCUGCAGAAACUAAAGAAACAGAAAGGCAAAUUUAUCAGCAAGAUGCUGCCAUACAGAAUACCAGACUUCACUGUGGAGACCUGGAAAAUCAAAUCAAAUCCUUACACGCAGAAAAUGUGAAGCUUAAAUCUGACAUAGAAACAGCCCAAGAAAAUUUUGAGGAACAAAUGAUAAAAUAUAAUGAAUACUAUGCCAAGAUAAAAGCACAUAAAGAUAGUUUGAGAGAGAUAGAGAACAAAUGGUCAUUCAUGACUGAACUCAAUGAGAAACGAGACCUUGUUAAAAAACUAAAGACAAUGAAAGAGGAACUUAAGCUGGAUCUCCAAAAUCCAGAAGGAAACCUGAUGAGACAAGCACAGGAAGAUAUUACAAAACUGAAGGAUGAAAUUACAACUGUAGAAGAAUCCAUCAGUGAACAAACUUGUUUUCUUGAGAAAGAAAUAAAGACACAUGAAAAAUUAAGAAAAGAAAUAGAGGUACAGCAUAAAAGAUACGGUGCAAUUCUCAAGCGUUUGCACUGUCAGGUAAACAAGCUUCACUCAAAUAGAAGACAAUGGCAAUGGAACAUCCAACAGCUGGAGAAAACCGCUGCUGAACUGAGAAAACGUAUUGAAAUGAAAGAUUAGCAUGGCUAUAGGGUGUUGUAAAGCACAGACUAUGCCACAAAAAUUAUGGGAUAGAAAGCUCAAAACACUAUAGUAACAGCCUGCUGCAGAUCAAGAGUAAUUAACUCAAAAUAUCACAAAGAACCAUGGAUCCAGAAGACAGAAUAUUGUAGAGUCAGAGCCAUAGCACCUGCCAUCAUGACUUCAGAAAAUUUGCAGUCAUUGUAAACGUAUCUAUUGCCAAGGGUAUUUUAUGAUAUCUUUGUGAUUUUGUUUGUACUUUAGCAGCACUGGAAAAUGUAAAAUUAGUGACAAUUACAAAAAACAAUUAUUGCUGUUGUGAAAAUGGUUUUAACCUAGGCUAAAGUAAAUUUUAGACUUUUUGCUCUGGGCCUCCAAACACUUACAAACACUAAUGUUGCUAGUCCUCAAAACUUUAAGCGGAUGUAAGUAAUUUAAAACUCUGCAAAAGGUCAGAUAUUUAUGGAAGUAGGGCCCAGUGGUAUGAAGAAAAUUUGAAUAAAUGGCUUUCAUUUUGUAACAUAAUAUUAGAAAGAAGCAGACUGGUAUGAGUUAGAACCAGCUGAUGAUGACAAAGAAACAAAUUUCAUGUUCUGCCUUCUCUGUUCAGCAAAUAUGACAUGGUUCUUUCUAUCUAGGUCAAUUUAGUUGGCAAGAGAGACAUGUGUGUAUAUAUAUAUGUAUAUAUAUAUAAAGCUCAAAUACAACAUAAAACAUCCGUGAUGGAAGCAUAAACCAAGCCCUAUGGAAACACAAAAUAAGGUGCAAUUAUUUCCAGACGAGGGUGGGAGAGUUUAAAAGAAGAGGUGGCAUUUGAGAUGGACUCUGAAGCAGCUAUUAAGUUCUCAUGGUUGUUUUCACUCAUCACACUCUGAAAGUUGCUAUCUUAUUCCGUUUCUGCAUUUCCAUUAGCAAGCAAAUACCUGGCCUGCAUAGUAGAUGCUCAGCUUUACACUGAAUGAAUUAGUGAAUAAAAUGAUCGACCAUUACUCUUGUGAUCAGUGUCUCCCAAUAGCCCUACUUUCAGUCGCUCCCACCUCUAAUCUUGUUGUUAAUAUUAGUGCUUGAGUUACUGUCUUAGAGUAGAAACUGAGCAUGGAACGCUUCUUCUGAAAAAAAGGAGAAAAACUUGCCAAAACACAAAAUCCAUUUUAGGACUAAACAGUAAACACUUAAAAAUCUGUCCCAACCUGUCUAUUAAUCCACUUGUCAAUUUUUGUUUUCUGCUCUGUUUAACAAUGAACCCAUAUUCCAUCGAAAGCAAAAUUCUAACUCUUCUGUAGGCAUGUAUUUUCACAUAUUCCCUUUGCCUCAAGUUCUGUCACCUAAGAGUCAAUUCUAACAUAGCCUCAGAACCAGUUUCAGCUACUAUAAAGCUUGAACUACAUUUAAAACACAUAUACACCCAUGGCUGAUUCAUGUGAAUGUAUGGCCAAAACCACCACAAUAUUGU